rnacentral:rRNA from 1 species
UACAGAGGGUGCGAGCGUUAAUCGGAAUUACUGGGCGUAAAGCGCGCGUAGGCGGCUUUGCAAGUCGGGUGUGAAAUCCCCAGGCUUAACCUGGGAACUGCAUUCGAGACUGCAUUGCUAGAGUAUGGGAGAGGGAAGUGGAAUUUCCGGUGUAGCGGUGAAAUGCGUAGAUAUCGGGAGGAACACCUGUGGCGAAAGCGGCUCUCUGGACCACAACUGACGCUGAGGCGCGAAAGCUAGGGGAGCAAACAGG